CAGCGAGGCAGAUAACUUUUGACCGUGAGGCACGGCGGAUUGGGAACCGAAUUGUUUGUUAUUUUUGUUAUAAAUAAAUGGAUUGACAUAUCCGAUGUUAAGUUCAGAAGUUAUGAAAGAGGAUCCGUGUAACGCGCCCGUGCAGGGAUGGAGGGAGAGAAGGAGCGACAGAGGCAGCAGCGGGAAGAGAAGGAGAGCAACGAGGCGGAGGACAACAGGACCAGCGACGAGGACGCCGACAAUGAUGAAGUGGAGGAGGAGGAAGAUUCAGAAUGCGCAGCCCUGGUCUGGCAAGAGGGCUAUGGCGAAGACAACCUGGGCCUUCCCAUCAUGCACUGGGAGGCGCUAAGCCUGCGCAUUGCCGAGCUGGAGAAGCAGGAGGAGGAAAACAAGGAGAAGAAGGCAAAGAGGGGAGUUUCUCUUGAGAGAGGAAGAGCACCGGUCAGCUGGACGGAGGAGAGAGGAAGAAGAAGGGAGAGCUGGGAAGACGGAGAUGAUGCCUGCAACAGCCACGUGCUGGCGCUCACCUCCCGCCUGCAGACGCAGAUGAACCUGCAGCUCUGCUUCAUCAACAACAGUGAAAGUGAGGAGGAGGAAGAGGACGAGAAG
ensembl:lncRNA